rnacentral:rRNA from 1 species
GUACGGGGGGGCAAGCGUUGUUCGGAAUUACUGGGCGUAAAGGGCUCGUAGGCGGCCAACUAAGUCAGACGUGAAAUCCCUCGGCUUAACCGGGGAACUGCGUCUGAUACUGGAUGGCUUGAGUUUGGGAGAGGGAUGCGGAAUUCCAGGUGUAGCGGUGAAAUGCGUAGAUAUCUGGAGGAACACCGGUGGCGAAGGCGGCAUCCUGGACCAACACUGACGCUGAGGAGCGAAAGCCAGGGGAGCAAACGGG